CGCCUCCUGCCCAUAUAAAAAUAUAGGAGGUCCCGCCUGCCCUGUGACCAAAAGUUUAACGGCCGCGGUAUUUUAACCGUGCAAAGGUAGCGCAAUCAAUUGUCUUUUAAAUGGAGACCUGUAUGAAUGGCAUAACGAGGGUUUAACUGUCUCUUUUUUCUGGUCAAUGAAACUGAUCUACCCGUGCAGAAGCGGGUAUACCCACACAAGACGAGAAGACCCUAUGGAGCUUUAGACGCCCACCAACCAUGAAGAGCAGCCUGCCUAACAGGCCCCCAAACUACAUGGCCCUGGUAUAAACGUCUUCGGUUGGGGCGACCACGGGGGAAAGCAAAGCCCCCGAGAGGAUUGGGGGAAACCCUAAAACCAAGAGCCACAGCUCUAAGUCACAAAAUAUUUGACCGACAAUGAUCCGGCUUUUGCCGAUCAACGGACCAAGUUACCCUAGGGAUAACAGCGCAAUCCCCUCCCAGAGUCCAUAUCGACGAGGGGGUUUACGACCUCGAUGUUGGAUCAGGACAUCCUAAUGGUGCAGCCGCUAUUAAGGGUUCGUUUGUUCAACGAUUAAAGUCCU
rnacentral:rRNA from 1 species